rnacentral:lncRNA from 1 species
GGUUUGUAAAGGGAAAUUGUUAAGCUUAAUCUUGCAAAAACAUGGCGACCACGAUGGAUGAACAACGGACCGAGCCGGUUUAGACGCAACCGGCACUUUCAAUGCUAGAUUCCCCACUGUAAGCCGUACGAAAGGGCAAGGGUCCAUUCCUUUUUCUCUUUGCUCUUGCCCUUCUUCUUCAAAACCCGCACUCUUGAAUCUAUGAUUAGUUCUAUGUACUUGUCACACAGAGAUAAAAAUUGAAAAGAGAGGGUUUUAAGCUUGAAGCGAAAAUGGAAGACUGUGCAUGGAGGUUACAUGGGAAAACGAGAAGGGAAUGGGGUUUCGAAAAGUGGGAAUGGUAACAGUGGUAAGCCUUAUAGCCUUCAUUGUUGUCUGGUUGUUUUCUUCUAAAAUCUCUCUUAAUUCUGUUUUUAGGGUUUGUGACAAUUUUUUUUUGAGAUUAAAAGACAAGUUUUUAGAAAAACAGGGGGCAGAUUGGGGAAGAUGGAUGAUAGCUGGCAACAGGCUGGAGUCAAUUGCCAGAAUGGAUGGAACGGAAGCUGACGGUAAGGUCAAAUUUCAUUUAAAGUCCUUGUAUUAUGCAUUUAUUUUAGAUUUAGUCUCUACUAUAAUUUGAUCAUUUCUAUUUUCGAAAAAUUUAUUUUCAGUCCCCAAGUUAUUUUUCAUGAAUUCUGUGAAAUAAUUUAACAUGAUUUAUUUUUUAAACAUGUAAUGACAUGAUAUAUAUUCUUUGACCUUUUUUUUUUGUAAGGGUUAUAUUCGCUUGGUUCAGUUGGAUUUUUGGAUUUUCUGAAUCAUCCAUAAUAAUUUGGUUAGUUUAGUUCUCGAUUUUUCUAUAGUAAUUUUGAAUUUUUAGAAUUUAUUUUGAAAAAAUAAAUUUUGUUUUAAGGCUUUCAAAUAUUAUUUGGCAAAGCUUUAAAGUAUUUUCAAGUAAAUAAAAAAUAAUCAAUAAAUUUUAUAUGGAAUUUUUUUAAAUUGUGUAGAAUUUUAAGUUAUUUUCACUAUUUUAAAUAUAAUAUAUAUUUAUAGCAUAAAAAUAAAAUAAAUUAUAAAUUAAAUAAAAAAUAGAAUUUAAUUCGAUUUAAAUUAAUUGCAAUUUUUUAACUUGUAUUUUAUAAAACUUUUAAAUACCUCGGUUGAGUCAGUUUUUUAUUUUAUUUUUCUUGCUCAGCUUUAGUUUUUUGCAUAAUUGGAUUUUUUAUAUUAAAAAAAAAGAAAAUGGUAAAUAAUUGUACAAUUAUACAUGAAAUACCGAUAUAUAUAUAUGACUGUCACAUAUGUUUUAAAAUAAGGACCUUAGAUUAUUUGAUGGAAUUCACAAAAAGAAAUUAAUCUCUUGACUAAAAGUAUACAUUCCGAAUUAUGGGACUAAAAAUGAUGAAAUUAUAAUAAAAAUUAAAUUUGUCAAAAAUGUAUAGUAUAGGGACCUUUCUUGAAUUUUACCCAAAGGGUAAUAUCUUAUGAGGUGGGGGAGCUCCUUCUCUCUCUCUCUCUAUCCCUUUCACCUGACCAACUAAAAUUGUAGGCUCCAUAUUUUUUAAGUCGUAUGACGAAAAUAUCCUUCCUCUCUCUUUUCAUUUCUCACCACCUACAUGGAAUCUCACUUCUUCUAUGCAAAAACAAAAUGGUUGAGUGGGAUUAAUAAAUUUAAUCAAUUGAAUUUUAAUUCGAUUGAUAUGGGUAUUAUUGUUAACAUAGGAUUAUAUAAGUUUAAGUGCGUUAAAAUAUAUUAUCCUCUCAUUUAUGAGUUGAGAAGAGGUUAUAAGUAAUUUUAAGACUUACAUAAAAAAAUAGAUAUGAGUAGAAUUUAUAAUAUAUUAUUUAAAAAUUAUUAUUAACAAUUUUUUUAUUAACCAAUAUUAUGAAAAUAUAAAUAUAGAAUAUUAAUCAUUAAAAUUACUGAUUUAAUUGUUGAUAAACUUAUUUAUAAGUCGAUUGUUAUAAAAAAAAUUCACAAAAAAAAUUAAUUAUUUAAGUAUGAAGUAAAUAUAAAUUGUUAAGUUUAGAUACUUCACUAUAUAUUAUAUUUAAGUAUUUAAUUGAACCAGUGUUAUGAAUCAAUAGAACACUGAUUUAAUUAAGAAAUAAUUAAAAACUAAUUUUUUUUAUAAAAUAGCAAUAUGUUUUAUGUUUUUUUUCGUAUUUUUAGGUAAAAUCUAUAAAAAUAAAUUUAAAUCCAAAAUAAAUCUAAAAAAACUCAUAUAUAAUUACGCUUAAACUUAAACCCGCAUUAAUCUCAACCAAUAACUCGUUUGUUUCUACCUCUUUGGUAUAAAAAGAGUGAGUUUCCUGUGUAAUUUUUUUAUUAAUCUCGUGAUAAAUAGAUAAAUAAGAGGAUAACAUAUUUUAAUACACUUAAAUUUACGUUUUUUAAUAUUAAUAAAAAUACUUAUAAUAAUAGUUUGAUUCUGAUUCAUGAGGUGGGACCCGAUUUUUGAUAGAGGGAUUUGGGUUCGUCUGAUCUGGAAUUAGGUGGGGUUUGAUUUUAUCUACUGGUUAUUGGAUGAGAUUAUUAAUUGCUGAUUUUACAGGGAGUAUUUCAUGGUGCGGACACGUGGCGUUGGGAAUUGUUUU